UUUCUUGCAAGACAUAAUCUGGAAAUCCUACGUCAUGAAAGGACUUUAUAGGCUUGGGCACAUCACGGCCCUCAAUAGUGAUCUCCCGUCGUCGUCUAUACUCUUCCACCUCACCUUCAGUCAUUGCUGCUAUGGAUGGUGAUUCAACAUAGAAAUUCUUCUCAAAUGGAGGCAAAUCAUCCAAAUUAACCUUCCGUGGCGACUCCUUACCCUCGGAAUCUCUCCUGCUCGAUGAUGAUGACCUAUAAUUUGAGCCCCCACCGAAGACUGAAUCACUGCGACGGUCACGGUAAGAGCCAGGGUCCGCCGGACGGCUAUCGUAGCGACUCAUAUUCCGGCAAACUCGUCGGAGGUAUUAGACUAGAGUGUAUUACAGGAAGCUUCUAGAAAGAAAAUGGUGGUUUUCUCUGCCAAAGAAG
rnacentral:misc_RNA from 1 species